ensembl:lncRNA
AUUGAUGUUUAUGGUUAAGUACAUUCCUGCAAUGAUUGUGCUUUUUUUGCGAAUGCGCUUUUGUUAAAACAUCACCUGUUUGGCAAAGUAGGCUGUGAUUCGAUGAUAAAUUAACAGGCGUCGUAUUGAUUAUAUGCAACGCAGGACAAACUAGUUAAUCUAGUAAUAUCAUCAACCAUGUGUAGUUAACUAGUGAUUGUGAAGAUUGAUUGUUUUUUUUAUAAGUCUUCCAGGCCUCUGUCUGCUUCUAUGCAAAGAGUUGUCAAAUGUCAAGAGUUUGACUGUCAAAUGUGUCAGUGUUUCCAAGGAGGAAAAAGCAAGACAGAGUCUAACUAGAGUCAGUUAACUGAGGGAAGGUGAAGAGAGUGUAUCUGCCCCAAGCCCAGUUACCUGCCAACCUCGACGACCCAUCUGACACCACCCCUGCUCCCUUCUGGCUUUAGUGGCCAUGGCCCUCGUCACAACCAUGGGAGUGGUGCCAGUCGUUCUCCUGGUCCUGGCAGCCUUUGACUCAGGUGAACCAAUCCCAUACACUAUCUCUCUACAUGACUGUGACCUGUUU